rnacentral:rRNA from 1 species
UAACACAUGCAAGUCGAGCGAGAAAUCUUGAAAUGAAACUUCGGUAGAUUUUUAAGAUGGAAAGCGGCGGACGGGUGAGUAACGCGUGGGUAACCUGCCUUACACUGGGGGAUAACAGUUAGAAAUGACUGCUAAUACCGCAUAAGCGCACAGGGCCGCAUGGUCCGGUGUGAAAAACUCCGGUGGUGUAAGAUGGACCCGCGUCUGAUUAGGUAGUUGGCGGGGUAACGGCCCACCAAGCCGACGAUCAGUAGCCGACCUGAGAGGGUGACCGGCCACAUUGGGACUGAGACACGGCCCAAACUCCUACGGGAGGCAGCAGUGGGGAAUAUUGGACAAUGGGCGAAAGCCUGAUCCAGCGACGCCGCGUGAGUGAAGAAGUAUUUCGGUAUGUAAAGCUCUAUCAGCAGGGAAGAAAAUGACGGUACCUGACUAAGAAGCCCCGGCUAACUACGUGCCAGCAGCCGCGGUAAUACGUAGGGGGCAAGCGUUAUCCGGAUUUACUGGGUGUAAAGGGAGCGUAGACGGUUUAGCAAGUCUGAAGUGAAAGCCCGGGGCUCAACCCCGGUACUGCUUUGGAAACUGUUGGACUUGAGUGCAGGAGAGGUAAGUAGAAUUCCUAGUGUAGCGGUGAAAUGCGUAGAUAUUAGGAGGAACACCAGUGGCGAAGGCGGCUUACUGGACUGUAACUGA